rnacentral:rRNA from 1 species
GAUGAACGCUGGCGGCGUGCCUAAUACAUGCAAGUCGAGCGAACGGAUAAGGAGCUUGCUCCUUUGAAGUUAGCGGCGGACGGGUGAGUAACACGUGGGUAACCUACCUAUAAGACUGGAAUAACUUCGGGAAACCGGAGCUAAUGCCGGAUAACAUUUGGAACUGCAUGGUUCUAAAGUAAAAGAUGGGUUUGCUAUCACUUAUAGAUGGACCCGCGCCGUAUUAGCUAGUUGGUAAGGUAACGGCUUACCAAGGCAGCGAUAAGUAGCCGACCUGAGAGGGUGAUCGGCCACACUGGAACUGAGACACGGUCCAGACUCCUACGGGAGGCAGCAGUAGGUAAUCUUCCGCAAUGGACGAAAGUCUGACGGAGCAACGCCGCGUGAGUGAUGAAGGUUUUCGGAUCGUAAAACUCUGUUAUUAGGGAAGAACAAAUGUGUAAGUAACUGUGCACAUCUUGACGGUACCUAAUCAGAAAGCCACGGCUAACUACGUGCCAGCCGCCGCCGUAA